rnacentral:rRNA from 1 species
AUGGCCGCCGCCGCCGCCGCCUCCAUGGCCCGCAGGCUGCUCUCCCCCACCACCACCUCCUACUCGACCGCCGCCCGCCUCCUCAUCUCCCGCCGCCUCGCCUCCGCCCCGAUCAUCCCGCGCGCCCCGGCGGCGGCGAUGGAGCUGCUGCGCCCGGCGGCCGUCGCGUCCUCCUCGUCGUCCCUCCUCCUGCGCAGCGUCGGGGGCGCCAGGGGCAUGGCGCGGCGUCCCGGGGGCGGCGACGGGUACUCCCCCGCGCGGGGCGGGGGCGGAGGCGGCGGGGACCGCGCGCCGACGGAGAUGGCGCCGCUGUUCCCCGGGUGCGACUACGAGCACUGGCUGAUCGUCAUGGACAAGCCCGGCGGCGAGGGCGCCUCCAAGCACCAGAUGGUCGACUGCUACGUCCACACCCUCGCCAAGGUCCUCGGCAGCGAGGAGGAGGCCAAGAGGAAGAUUUACAACGUCUCGUGCGAGCGCUACUUCGGGUUCGGGUGCGAGAUCGACGAGGAGACAUCCAACAAGCUCGAAGGGAUUCCUGGUGUUCUCUUUGUGCUCCCUGAUUCCUAUGUUGACCCAGAGCACAAGGACUAUGGAGCCGAGCUGUUUGUGAAUGGGGAGAUUGUGCAGAGACCACCCGAGAGGCAGAGGAGGGUGGAGCCCGUGCCGCAGAGAGCGUCGGACAGGCCGCGGUACAACGACAGGACCCGGUACGCGCGGCGGAGGGAGAACCAGCAGCAGCAGCAGCCGCAGCGAUGA